rnacentral:rRNA from 1 species
AGGAAGCCCAAGCAACUGCGAUUGCUACAGUAACGGCGAGUGAAGUGGCAUUACACAUGGCUCAACCUGAAUGAGAUCCCCCUGCACUGCCUAGGCAGGAGCAGUCGGCUAUUGUGGGUUUCAACAGAUGCUGUGGGUUCUGGAGUGGUCAGCAGUGCCAGUGGAUGGCUGUGGUGCCCUGAAAUGCCCUGGAAUGGCAUACAACAGAGGGAUACUGUCCCCUAGACCUGGCGUGUGCUAUGGCCUCCUAUGGUCUGCUGGCUACAUCCAAGAGUAGAGCGGCUUGGGACUGCAGUUUGAAGUGUGUGGUGUAUCCCACACAAGGAGGAAUACCACCAUGGGACCGAUAGCGCACAAGUAGAGUGAUUGAAGGAUGCAAAGGACUUUGCAAAGAGGGUUAAAAGUCCCUGAAGCCUCAGCAGGAACGGCGGUGUGCGGUGCUGUAGCCUGGACUACCAGCCCAAUGCAGGCCUACCUAUCAGACUUCUGUCUGAGGCUCUGCAGUGUGGUGCUGUGAGUUCCCAUACCAAGCGACCUUGGGCCAGCCCAGUGCUGGCUGUUGAGCCUAUCACUCCAGUGGUGGAUGCAAUCACAGCAGUGCUUUGGUGACAAACUGCCUGUCAGGGCCUGAGGUUUAUGGCAAUUGCAAAGGGCAUAUGGCUUGGCCUGUGGCAUCUGUGGACCCCUCUAGGGGAUCAUUUGUCCAGGCUGCCUGUGUGAUACCUAGCGCUGAACCUGGUGUGCCUAUGGGCAUGCCAGUCACUAGAGCCCAGCCAUGGUUGGGGCUAGCGAGUGCAUGAUAGCUGCACCACUUCGGUGGCUAUGGUGUGCCUGCUGGCCCCCCAGAUGGUGCUCAGUGCAGAUGGUAAGGCAGCUGAGCUUGGAUCAUCAGUGCCACUCACUGCCCGUCUUGAAACACGGACCAAGGAGUCUAUGGAGCUUGCAGGUUGGCAGGUGUUAUCAUGGAAAACCGGCAUGGCAUAGUGAAGGCAACGUUUCCCAGAAGUGUCUACUGCAUGGGAACCGGCCCCAUGUCCAUUGGACUGGGUUUUGAGUGAAUGCAAGGUCCAUGGGACCCGAAAGGUGGUGAACUAUACCGUUCCAUGACGAAGCCAUGGGAAACUGUGGUGGAGGUCAGUCGCUGUCCUGACGUGCAAAUUGUGUAGCCUGAGUGUGGCAUAGGGGUGAAAGGCCAAUCGAGCCACCUAGUAGCUGGUUUCCCUCGAAGUUUCCCUCAGGAUAGCUGGGUUCAAGUGCAAAUCCACUGAGUGGUUACGUCCGGUAAAGCAACGCAUGAGAGGCAAUCCCUGGGGAGGCUUCCCUCCUCAACCUAUUCUCGAACUGUGAAUGGGCGUGGCAAACCCAUAAGGCAUGCCUCUUCACCUGUGCUGGAGCCUGGGUCAAACCAGUUCUCUGGCCUUCUGGGCGUGUUUGAUGGUGGCUGCCUCACUCUGACUGACCUAGCCCUGGCCAUGCCCUGUGUGGUGCACCUCUGUGGAGCCUGCCUGGUAUGUCCCAGUGAGCUAUGGUUGUGAUCUGCAAUGGAGUGGUGAGAACUGCAAUCUGAAGUGAGGCUGCUGCUGUGGUGAACAAGUGUACCUAUGUGGGCCAUGAUUGGUAAGCAGUGCUGGCGAUGCGGGAUGCUCCGAGAGUGGACUUACAGAACCCUAGUGCUGGCUCAUACACAGAUCCCACAAAGGGUGUUGUCUGCUAUGGAUAGCAGGACGGUGGCCAUGAAGGUUGGAACCCGCUAAGGAAUGUGUAACAACUCACCUGCCGAAGUGCACAGCCCCGAAAAUGGAUGGUGCCCAAGUCAGUGAAGCUGAACUUGCCUUACAGUCCACCGCCACUGUGGCAGCAGAGCAGAGCAUUGUUGUGUAGAAAGGACAUGGGAGCUUGCAGUGAAUGUCAGGGUUGACCCUGGCUGGAGUGGCUUCUGGAGCAGAUCUUGGUUGUAGUAGCGAGUACUCCAUCAGGUGAAGGGCAGAACAACCCUGCUGUGUGUGGUUGAGGACUGGAGUGGAGCAGGUUUCCACACCAAACAGCCGUUGAAUGUGGGUCAACCGGCCGUGAGCCAAGUGGUAAAGUCACUGAACAACCAAAGCUGCCUAUCCCUCAGGGAAUCCAGGCUGUAGUGUGGGCUACCUUUGCAGUGCACAGGGCUGAUUGGUUCGUCCAGUCUGGACAGUGCAUGGGCUAUGCCAGUGCAAGGUAUGCCCCAGCUAUGCCCCCUGAGGAAGGUCUGGUGGGAUUGGCAAACAGGCGAGCAGGUGCAACAUUCUGCUGUAACGGGCUUGGAACCUUAUUGAGUGGCGACUCUAUGGCGAAUGGAGCAAGCAGGCUUUGGGGCAGUGCACCCCCUGAGGAGUUCUCUUUUCCUCCUGAUGAAGGUUCAUGUGGGCUAUCGAUUGACAUGACAGAUGGUGGUGUAUGCCCUCCACCCAGCAAAGCAGUGCAUCCUUGGCGCUGAUGGUGAUCUCAGUCAAUGGAACUUACCUGUGGCUGGUCUUUAUGACCCAACUACUGGCAUGAACCUCUCUAUGGUGGUCACUGGCUCCACUGAACAGCCUGUGGGGACACUGUGUUCCUAGUCCUGGCUUCCGUACUGAAUCACCGCAGCCGGUCUCCUCGGCUAGACGCCGCUGGUCAACGGAUUGAAUGCAGCUAAGGGAAGUCGGCAAACUAGCUGUGUACCUUCGGAAGAUGCAGUGGCUCCAGAGGUCAGGACACUGGGCCCUGCUAUGGACAGUGUGCAUGGUGAGGUUGGCAACCCUGUGUAGUGGCUUCACUGUCAUUGUGUGGGGACUGUCAGCCCUGCCUACACUGCUACAACUCGCUUGUGCCUCUAUGGUGGGGGGCCUGGAACGCACUUGUGCCUCUAGGUCCAUCCCAGUGUCUGUCAAGUGGCCCAUAUGGAACUGAUGCUGUGCAGGGGAAUCUGACUGUUUAAUUGAAACACAGCUUUGUGACGGGACCAGCUGGCUGGUACCAUGAGGUGACUUCUGCCCAGUGCUCUGAUUGUCAAUGCAAAGAGAUUUAGCCAAGCGCGGGUAAACGGCGGGAGUAACUAUGACUCUCUUAAGGUAGCCAAAUGCCUCGUCAACCAAUUAUUGACGCGCAUGAAUGGAUCAAUGAGAUUCCUGCUGUCCCUAGGUGCUGUCCGGUGAACCAACAGCCAAGGGAACGGGCUUGGGUGUGUCAGCGGGGAAAGAAGAGCCUGUUGAGAG